GCAGGUGCAGCCGGAAUAUCCUAUUUGACGCGUUUUGCGUCAAAUUGUCGAGGUACCGCACACCCCUUUGACUUGUUUGGGCCGGCCUGUUUAUUUCCUGUUCGCUGUCCCCCUUCCUCCCUCGACCGCUUCAUUCGUUGUCUACAGAGAAGCUUUCCCUUUCUCCUUCGUGCCUGGAUCCCCUUUUCCUCCGUCGUUCGGCCGCUUUUAUCACCUGCUUCUUCCUCCGGGAUCCUACUCCGGCAAGAGACCGCCGACCUCGUAAGGCGCCGCCGGGUCGCUGUGCUUCCUUUUCAUACGCGCCACCGCAUCAGAUCUGGCUGACUUCGUCACGUUGGAUGUUUAUUUGCAGGUCGCCGGUGUCUCCAGCGUCGGCGUCUGCAUCGUCUAGGGUUCCGACAAGGUCGGCGUCGUCUAGGGUUCCGACAAAGUCGGCGUAGUCUAGGUCCCCGUCAAGCUUCGUCAAGCUCGGCGUCGACAAGGUAAACGCGCCCAAAUUCCCCUGUUAUGGACCUUGCUCGGCGUCGACAAGGUCCAUCCCCGUACGUGCCGCUCUGCAGUGUCACCUGCACCGACGCUCCCAUCUGACUAUGUUCACCCCUUUGCCGGCGGCAGGUGCGAUGGGCGGAGGCAGCGACGGGGAGUGGAGCUCGUUUGGAUUGUAAACCAGAAGCUGUCCUCGGCAUCCCGAGCUUGAUUGCCGCCUUGGAAGGUAGCAAGUCUUAUUCCCUAAAAAAGUCUUCUACGUACUAAACAAAACUGAAUUCUCUCAGAAAGAAAGUUCUGAAAUGAGGCAUGUAAGUAGCAGGCUGAACUCAGAUCCCAUCCGACAUGGACAUGACAUGCCGUGAUGAAUGAUGAUGCUUGUGUGAUGAGCUGCGCAACUAGGCCAGCUUUGUUUUCAUACACUAUAGCUUGUCUCAUGUUUUGGUCUGAAUUAUGUUUACUUUCUGAAUGUGUGAGUUCUGGUUGGUUUCUGAUUUCUGAAUGUGUUGUGCUUUGUUCUUCUGCAGCCCAUCCUGCACACGGGGGUAGGCGCGGACGUGAGGCUCCAGGGUGCUACUACCGCGUAUGGCCGGCCCCGUAGUCCCGUGGAUAAGCAGCGGUAGGGACAUACAUAGACUGAAAUAUGAACUCAACUGAACAUCUGGACUCCUGAAUCCGUGCAUAAUGUCAUGUGGAGCGUUUUUUAUUUGAUUUGGAUGUUUCUGAGAUUAGACAAGGGGUUGUGUUUAGAGAUUUCGGAUUCAGAGGUAUGAUUCAGCAUGCUAUUGUUAGGAGGUUGUGUAUUCUGGCACUUGGCCUUGGGAUUUUUGCUUUUGUUUCUUGAUGAUCGUAGGGUGGUUUGUGUAGGUUGACGUAGAAGUUUUUCUAUGUUUUAAAAAUCUUACGUUUAUUUUACGAAUUUUGUAGCAGCAACAUGGAUUAGUUCUUGAGACUUGUUAGCAUGUAUAUUAGGUUUUCUUCUAUUCAGCCGGUGGUAUGCAUGCAUCUAUUAACAUUUAGGUCGCUUGUCCAUAUUAUAGGCUGGAGUAGUUUUGUAAAUGCUAGGCCAUGAAUUUAUUCACAUGUUUGUAUUGAUAAACGAUGCAUGUGUUGCAUCCUACCCGCACGACUUUGUUAUUUUAAUGUUGAAAAGUUUUCUUUAAUUUGCAUUUGAUGCCGUGAAUAGUCCUUUGCUUGCACAGUAGAGUGUUCUGGUGUUUUAGGUAAUUUCCUCUGUUGCUCUAGGAGCAGCACUACCAAUUUUUUUUCACACUAUAUUUGUGAAAUUAUACAAAUAAGAAUUCUGUGGUUAAUUGCAGCAUUUUGGGUGGACAUAGUUAGUUAACAAUGAUUUUGUAGUAUGGUGUCAUUCAUCUACCAUACUUCUGUAUCAUUUUCCUUGCAAGUAUUAUCAUAACAUGAUAAUUCGUGGUGUUCUUGUCCUCUGUGUUGCUUAGCUCUUAUUUGUUUGGGCACACACACAAAAGCAGAACUUGCCUAGCAAUCCCUUUUAAGUACUAACAUAGUUGUUUGAUCUUUUUACUGUAAUUGAUAUAGUUUGUUGACCUUUUUUCUAUCCUAAUGUAUUUAAUGUUUUCAUUAUCAUGCUUUCUUCUGUGAAUAGCACAACUAUCAGUGAUUCUAAAUACUUGAAUUAUGGUCCUUGAAUAACACUUGAAUAAUGUUCCUUGGAAAAUGUUUCUCUACAUACUUGAAUUAUGUCCCCUAAUAAUGUUCACUUCGAAAUGUUCAUUCAAUAAUGUUCCUUGGAAAAUGUUCCGCCAAUGACGUUCCCUACGAAAUUGUUCCUUCAAUAUUUGAUCCCUAAAUUAUGCCCCUUUCAAUAUGUUCCCUAAAUAAUGUUCCUUGGAAAUUGUUCAUCGAAUAAUGUUCCCUAAAUACUUGAAUUAUGUUCCUUGAAUAACACCUGAAUAAUGUUCCUUGGAAAUAGUUCCCUAAAUAAUGUUCCGCCAAUAAUGAUCCCUACAAAAUUGUUCCUUCAAUAUUUGGUCCCUAAAUUAUGCCCAUUUCAAUAAUGUUUCCUAAAUAAUGUUCCGUGGAAAUUGUUCACCGAAUAAUGUUCCCUAAAUACUUGAAUUAUGUCCCCUAAUAGUGUUCACUUGGAACUAUUCCUUCGAUAAAGUUUUCCGCUCAAUAUUUUGUGAUCCCUAAAUAAUGUUCCGCCAAUAGUAUUCCGCCAAUAAUGUUCCCUACAAAAUUGUUCUUUUCAUUUUUUCUUUCAUAAAUAAUUUUCCUUUGAAACUGUUCCCUAAAUAGUGUCCCCUAAAUACUUGAAUAAUGUCCCCUAAUAAUGUUCAUUUCGAAAUGUUCCUUUGAAUAAUGUUUCUUCAAUAUUUUGGACCCUUUGUUCAAAUAGUGUUCGCUAAAUAAUGAUACUUGAAAAAAGUUUCCCUAAUCUCUUUAAUGUUCACUUCAAAUUGUUCCUUCUAUAAUGUUCCCUACAAAAUUGUUCCUUCAAUAUUUGGUCUAUAAAUAAUGUUUCUUCAAAAAUGUUCUCUACAUAAUGUUCCCUAAAUACUUGAAUAAUGUUUCCCUAAUAAUGUUAUAUUUGGGAAUGUUCCUUUGAUAAAGUUUUUUGCUCAAUUUUUUGUAUGCCUCCAAUAAUGUUCCCUACAAAAUUGUUCCUUUAAUAUUUGUUUCCUAAAUAAUGUUCCUUGGAAAUACACAGAAACAACAGAUUCCUUUUCCAGACUGUAACUUUCAAGGAUAAUGAAAUUCAGCUUCCGUUUGUAACUUCUUUCCUGUAGAGACAUGUUAGUUCUCCAUUCCUUUUGUUCCAAGGAUACUUGAGAUUUUUGUACCUCCUUUUAUCAUGUUCUAUGUACUGAUAAGUACAUUUUUCAGUUAGUCUAAUCACAUGUGUGUUUCAAUAGGGUUUCCGAAUUUUCAAGUGAAGCAUUGAAGAUCAAUCAUUUUUCAUUUCCGCACAUCAACUAAGCUUGGGUAACUUCAUGGUGUUUCUUACCCAAAGAAUUUGUAAUUUACAAAUGUUUACGCCUUAUCUUUCUUUGCAAGAAUAUAUGUGUCAUGCAUUUUCUCCCUAAUUCCAACUAUCCUUUUUUCCUUUCUUAUUCUGAAGGGUGUCACUGGCAUUAUUACUACAAUCGAAAUUGCACUGUGAGAAGUGAUUUGGAAUCAAAGAGAAAAUAACAUGGGGAAAAUGUUUCAUGGUUCAGUGAUUUUUUUCUCCAUUUUCCUAUUUUCAAUCUCAACACAAACAGCAGAAUCAGAACCAGAAAUAGUUCCUGAAGAAGCUGAACCAGUUCAGUCUUAGGAUUUAUAUACUCUUUCCGAAACAUUUUUUUCCUCCAUUUUUUU
rnacentral:lncRNA from 1 species